UACAGAGGUCUCAAGCGUUGUUCGGAUUCAUUGGGCGUAAAGGGUGCGUAGGCGGCGCGGUAAGUCGGGUGUGAAAUCUCGGAGCUUAACUCCGAAACUGCAUUCGAUACUGCCGUGCUUGAGGACUGGAGAGGAGACUGGAAUUUACGGUGUAGCGGUGAAAUGCGUAGAUAUCGUAAGGAAGACCAGUGGCGAAGGCGAAUCUCUGGACAGUUGCUGACACUGAGGCACGAAGGCCAGGGGAGCAAACGGG
rnacentral:rRNA from 1 species